rnacentral:rRNA from 1 species
CGAGAUUCCCCCAGUAGCGGCGAGCGAACGGGGAGGAGCCCAGAGCCUGAAUCAGUGUGUGUGUUAGUGGAAGCGUCUGGAAAGGCGCGCGAUACAGGGUGACAGCCCCGUACACAAAAAUGCACAUGCUGUGAGCUCGAUGAGUAGGGCGGGACACGUGGUAUCCUGUCUGAAUAUGGGGGGACCAUCCUCCAAGGCUAAAUACUCCUGACUGACCGAUAGUGAACCAGUACCGUGAGGGAAAGGCGAAAAGAACCCCGGCGAGGGGAGUGAAAAAGAACCUGAAACCGUGUACGUACAAGCAGUGGGAGCAUCUUUUAUGGUGUGACUGCGUACCUUUUGUAUAAUGGGUCAGCGACUUAUAUUCUGUAGCAAGGUUAACCGAAUAGGGGAGCCGAAGGGAAACCGAGUCUUAACCGGGCGUUAAGUUGCAGGGUAUAGACCCGAAACCCGGUGAUCUAGCCAUGGGCAGGUUGAAGGUUGGGUAACACUAACUGGAGGACCGAACCGACUAAUGUUGAAAAAUUAGCGGAUGACUUGUGGCU